rnacentral:rRNA from 1 species
GACGAACGCUGGCGGCGUGCUUAACACAUGCAAGUCGAACGGAAAGGCCCUGCUUUUGUGGGGUGCUCGAGUGGCGAACGGGUGAGUAACACGUGAGUAACCUGCCCUUGACUUUGGGAUAACUUCAGGAAACUGGGGCUAAUACCGGAUAGGAGCUCCUGCUGCAUGGUGGGGGUUGGAAAGUUUCGGCGGUUGGGGAUGGACUCGCGGCUUAUCAGCUUGUUGGUGGGGUAGUGGCUUACCAAGGCUUUGACGGGUAGCCGGCCUGAGAGGGUGACCGGCCACAUUGGGACUGAGAUACGGCCCAGACUCCUACGGGAGGCAGCAGUGGGGAAUAUUGCACAAUGGGCGGCAGCCUGAUGCAGCAACGCCGCGUGCGGGAUGACGGCCUUCGGGUUGUAUACCGCUUUCGCCUGUGACGAAGCGUGCGUGACGGUACUGGGUAAAGAAGCACCGGCUAACUACGUG